rnacentral:lncRNA from 1 species
GCUGUCACGCUCAAGCAACAUGUACUAAUACACAAGGGUCAUACCUAUGCGCUUGCAACACUGGCUACACAGGCGAUGGAACGAAUUGCGCAGGUCAGUAGAAAGCCAUAAAAUAAUGUUUUAAUAUCUACACAUGCAAGUAACUAAUCACGAGUGACAGCUGGUCGCCCCUUACGGCUUGGUUAAGCCUGCUCUUGUAUGACAAGGGUAGAUUUUCUCUGAGCCAACGACGCGAAGCGCUUUUCCGGCCGUGAGCUCGAGACGACAGUGGUAAUUUCACUCUGCUAUUUACACACGGGUAUUUGAGAUCAUGUAGCGAAGUGCAAAGUCGUCGUCCAUUAUGUGAUUGACAGUUUUCCACGUGUGCGCGAGUACAAGCUCGCGCCAAAAAUUUUUUUAUUUUGCAUAGCUUUAAAUUCAGUUCUAUCUUGCUGUUUUUCAGUGUAUCUUGCAAAGUUAAAUUUCAUAGAAAAAUUUACAGAAAUACAAAACGGUUUCUUCGAUUUCUUACUCUCUGUAACUAAUUUGCAGAAAGGUUGCUGCGACAAGGCAACAUCAAUUCCUAUGUUACUCAUGAUUUAGCUCUUCACUUACUACUUAAUAGAUUUGAAUAUGUUGGGGUAAGUGCAUUGUUUUUUCCUUCAUUCUCCCAGAGACGACUUAGCCCAGGCUAGAAUGUUGGGACAUUUCCCGUUUGGUCGUCAGGAAAGUCUUCUUUAAUUCUCAUCAUGCUUUCCAUUUGCCUUGGAAAAUUUAAUGAAAUCAUUGUUCUAUUUAGACAUUGACGAAUGUUCGCAAUCAAACAUCUGUCACGCUCAAGCAACGUGUACUAAUACAGAAGGGUCAUACCUAUGUACUUGCGACACUGGCUACACAGGCGACGGAACGAAUUGCGCAGGUCAGUAGAAAUCCAUAAAAUUAUGUUAUAUUAUUAUAUAAACAUAAGUGUAAAAUAGAGUUUUUGGCCACUGAGAAAAAUCGUAUUUAAACACGCGCAAAAAAUACGAUAUUUUUACGUAUGAAAAUAACAUUUGUUGUAAAACGCGUUGCCACGGACGUUUUAUUGUUUUAAACAGAAAAAUACAUGCGUCCUUGGAAAUACCAGAUUUUAAUUAUUUGUCGUGUUGAACAUGGUAUCUCACUCGUUCGCUGCCCUCACUCGUGAGAUAUCAUGUUCAACACUCGAAAUAAAUCUGGUAUUUCCGCGCUCUCAUGUAUUCUUUAUAUAUAUGUACAAAUACAAUUAACUAACCAGGAGAGACAGAGGACGCGCCCAUUACUGCUUGGUUAAGCCUGCUGCUGUAGGUGAAGGGUAGAUUUCCGGGUAUUUGAGAGCGUAGCGAAGUGGAAAGUCGUCCUCCAUUAUCUGACGGACUGUUUUCGACGUAAUGUCUUUGAUUGUUGAAAAAUGUUUUUGAUUUUGCAAAGCUUUAAUGAAAUUUGCAAAGCUCCUGCAAGUCAAGGCUAGAUUUUCGCCGAGCCAACGGCGGCUUUCCGAGUUUGAUCCCAAGACGAGGGUGCAAAUUCCGUUCUGCUAUUUACAACCAGGUAUUUGAGAACAUAGCAAAGUCGUCCUCCAUUUAACAAAUGGAUAAGAUAUAAUAAAAAGAAGAACUUCGAAUUACAGUAAACACGUAAAUAAAUUUUACAAAUAUCACGCGUUUGUGAUCAAUGCAUAAAAGGGAGUGCUAUUGGCUACCUUCAUUGUGACGUAAUUCCAUGCGUCUGUCCUGCAAUGGAUCAUGGGUGGCGUCCAAUGAAAGCGCUUGAAUUCUUAACGUUACUGUAUAAUAUGUGAUGGACGGUUUUCGACGUUAUGCACAUGUGCGAGUACAAGCUCCCGCGAAAAGAAACAGUUUUGAUUUUGGAAGUUUUAAUUUGAGAUCUAUUUUUUUUCGGUAUAUCUCGCAAAUUUAAAUUUCGUAAAAAAGUUUACAAAGCAACAAAGCGCUUUUUUCGAUUUCUUACUCUCUGUAAACGACUUGCAUAAAGGUUGCUGCCACAAGUCAACAGCAAUUUCUAUAUUACUAAUGGUGAAGCCCUUCGCUCACUACUUAAUAGAUUUGAAUAUGCUGUGGUAAGUUCAUUGCUUUUCCUUCAUUCUCUCAAAGACGUCCAGGCCCACUAGGAUGUUGACACAUUUUCCGUUUGGCCUUCAGGAAAGUCCUCUUAAAAAAAAUUAAUGAAAUCAUUUGUUCUAUUUUAGACAUCGACGAAUGUUCACAAGCAAACAUCUGUCACGCUCAAGCAACAUGUACUAAUACAGAAGGAUCAUACCUAUGUACUUGCGACACUGGCUACACAGGCAAUGGAACGUAUUGCGCAG